rnacentral:tRNA from 1 species
UCGGAAGUAGCUCAGCUUGGUAGAGCACAUGGUUUGGACAUGGGGUCGCAGGUUCGAAUCCUGUCUUCCCGACCA